AUUCCAUGGAAGCAAAUUAGUUUAGCAAAAAAGGGUUCCCACAUUAUUCAGCUUGCUUCCUUAGGAAACACAUCCCGUUUCUAGUGUUCUGCGGGCUUCUGAUUUUGCCCCAAGCUUCUGAUUUUGCCGGCUUCGGCGGCGGUGCUCGGCGACGACUGGCGUGGAGGGCAGCGGCGUCAUGGAGUUCCCUGCCGGGCACGGCUUCGCGCUUCGGGACGGCGUCCUCGCGGCCCGCUCCGCCGCUGCCGCGAGGGACGGUGGCGAAUCCACCGACCCCGACGACCCCCGGCUCCCGCCGCUGCGGCUCGGCGUCUCCUACGCGGCGACGGCGGCGCCAGGCGGCGGGGAAUGGACGCCCACGGGCCCGGGGCCGCCAGCAAGCUCACGCGCACCCCCUCCUCGCUCCUCCGCUCCCCCACCGUCCGGAACUGCUCCUCCUUCCACGCCGUCCUGCUCCACGACGACCCGGAGCCCGACCACAAGAAAUCCCACGCCGUCGCCGCGCAGCACACCCACAACCUCCGCUCCCGCCGCUGCGGCUCGCUCCUCUUCCGACGCCUUCCUCAGCACGAGCUCCACGCCUUCAGGACAUCUACUCCUUGUUUAUUUAUCAAGUUGCGCCAGCAACCAGGAGCCAACCAGCACUAGAAGGGCUGAGUAUUCAUUUUUCUUCUUUUCGAUGCCCACUGCAGAGUAUGUUUUCCUUGCCCCUCUCAGAUACUACAGUACUCCACUUCAGCAACUGCAUAUACUACAGUACUCCACUUCAGGAUGAGUGAGCUCUAUUUUUAGUCAUAUCCAACAAGAUAUCUCUUCCAGACUUUAAUAUUGCCAGGCAGGCCCUAGCUGACAUGAACUCGAUACUACAGUACUCCACUUCAGCAACUGCAGAGUAUGUUUUCCCACAAAAAGUCUGCUCCAAGAAGGAUGCUUCUAUGGUAAACUGCAGGCAAUCCUCUACAGUCUAUGGUGGCAACAAGCUCAACUGGGCAAAUGACUACAAUUCCUACAAUUCGUACACACGGCAAAUGACUCCAUGCUUGAGCAAAUGACUCACCGAGGCAAAGGCGUGUCCAAGGAGGGCGAUGUCCUGGACCACGGCACAGAGGGGCGAGGAAGGGGCAGCGCCGAUGGGCACGGACGGGGCGGCAGCGAGUGCGUCCGACGGAGGCGUAGCGACGGCGGAGCGAAAGAGGAGGCCGGAGCUCGAUGGCCGACGGCGGCCGUGCUCGAUGCUGGAGGUGCCGUCAGGGGAAGGGAAAGGUGAAGCGGCCGGCCUGGGCAGGGAAAUGGGAAGAGGCGGCCAGCGCGACUCCUCCGCGGGAGCCUCCCAACUGCGAGCAGAUCCGCGCGGACUCCGUCUCGCCGGGGAGCUGCCGACGGCAGCAGCGUGCCGUGUGCCCCGACGCAAGGAAGAAGAAGACCCUUCGGUCUGGACCUAUUUUGAAAUGAAUUUAAACUAGUAAGGGGGUUUUUGUAAAAUUAAGUUAAAACACUGCCACGCCCAUUAAUUCGGGCCGGAGGGAGUACUUUACAUGCACCAAAAUUAUGUUUCCAUACAAAACUUGUGAUUCCGUACAAUGAAGAAUCUGCUUCCGUGAACAAAA